UACGUAGGGUGCGAGCGUUAAUCGGAAUUACUGGGCGUAAAGCGUGCGCAGGCGGUUUUUUAAGUCAGAUGUGAAAUCCCCGGGCUUAACCUGGGAAUGGCAUUUGGGACUGCAAGGCUUGAGUUUGGCAGAGGAGACUGGAAUUCCUGGUGUAGCAGUGAAAUGCGUAGAUAUCAGGAGGAAUACCGAUGGCGAAGGCAGGUCUCUGGGCUAGAACUGACGCUCAUGCACGAAAGCGUGGGGAGCAAACAGG
rnacentral:rRNA from 1 species